rnacentral:rRNA from 1 species
GAUGAACGCUGGCGGCGUGCCUAAUACAUGCAAGUCGAGCGAACAGACGAGGAGCUUGCUCCUCUGACGUUAGCGGCGGACGGGUGAGUAACACGUGGAUAACCUACCUAUAAGACUGGGAUAACUUCGGGAAACCGGAGCUAAUACCGGAUAAUAUAUUGAACCGCAUGGUUCAAUAGUGAAAGACGGUUUUGCUGUCACUUAUAGAUGGAUCCGCGCCGCAUUAGCUAGUUGGUAAUGUAACGGCUUACCAAGGCAACGAUGCGUAGCCGACCUGAGAGGAUGAUCGGCCACACUGGAACUUAGACACGGUCCAGACUCCUACGGGAGGCAGCAGUAGGGAAUCUUCCGCAAUGGGCGAAAGCCUGACGGAGCAACGCCGCGUGAGUGAUGAAGGUCUUCGGAUCGUAAAACUCUGUUAUUAGGGAAGAACAAAUGUGUAAGUAACUAUGCACGUCUUGACGGUACCUAAUCAGAAAGCCACGGCUAACUACGUG